rnacentral:rRNA from 1 species
UGAGCAAUCUGCCCUUCUCAUCGGAAUAAGCGUUGGAAACGACGUCUAAUGCCGAAUACGACCUCCUUUCNCAUGAUCGGAGGUGGAAAGCUCCGGCGGAGAAGGAUGAGCUCGCGGCCUAUCAGCUAGUUGGUGUGGGUAAUGGCCCACCAAGGCGACGACGGGUAGCCGGCCUGAGAGGGUGACCGGCCACACUGGGACUGAGACACGGCCCAGACUCCGUACGGGAGCAG